UACGUAGGCAGCGAGCGUUGUUCGGAGUUACUGGGCGUAAAGGGUGUGUAGGCGGUUGUUUAAGUUCGGUGUGAAAUCUCCUGGCUUAACUGGGAGGGUGCGCCGGAAACUGGGGUGCUCGAGCGUGGGAGAGGAAAGCGGAAUUCCUGGUGUAGCGGUGAAAUGCGUAGAUAUCAGGAGGAACACCUGUGGUGUAGACAGCUUUCUGGACCAUUGCUGACGCUGAGACACGAAAGCGUGGGUAGCAAACAGG
rnacentral:rRNA from 1 species